AGGUCACAGUCUCCACGAGCUUGGGUUUUGUCAUCUGCAAAUGAAGUAAUGAUAGCUAAAUUCUUCCCUGUGGCUUUGAGGUUAGAAUGCUGUGUAUGUAAUGACGUUAUGUAAAGGACUAAGGGACUCUUGGGAAAGAACUCAAGGGAACAGCAAAUAAAGUUAAGCUCUGAUGGCCCAUCAAGGUUUGGAGCCAUUCUAAGAAAGCAUUGAUCUUGAUGUUCGGGUUAUCUUCUGGUUUGAACCCCUUGGAAAUUGAGAAACUAGUGUGCAAAUGGAAAUCAGGAAAAGUGUAUGUCCUCCCCUCUCCCUGCCACGGGACAAAUAAAUUCUGUUAUACAUUCAGAACAGCACUUUAAUAUGCCAAUCACAAAAGUGUAGAAAGGAAUUAUUCUCCUGGGAUUCUGCAUACCCACAUUGAGCACCACUCAACUUUGGCAAGGAUAUUCUUUUAAACAACAGUUUGAGACAAAAUUCACACAAGAUAAAAUCUACCCCUUUAAAGUGUACAAUCUAUUCCUCAAAUGAUGCAACCACCACCAUUAUCUAAUUCUAGGACAUUUUUAUCAUCCCCAAAUGAAACCCCCAUACCCAUCAGCAGAUACUCCUCAUUUUCCAUCAUCCCCAACCCCUGGAAACCUGUCCUAUUAGCUUACUUUGGAAUUUUGUCUAAAUGGUAUCCUACAACAUGAGGUCUUUUGUGAUGAGCUUCUUUCACUUAACAUAAUGUACUCCAGCCCAUCUGCACAGCAGUAAGUAUGAGUGUUUCACCUCUCAUAUGGCUGAAUAAAAUUCUGCUUUAUGGAAGACCACGAUUGUUUAUCUACAUCUCAGGUGAUGAACAUUUGGGGUUGUUUCUACUAUUUGGCUGUUGUGAAUAAAUAAUGCGGCAAGAAUUUUCAUGUUCAAAUUUUCAGGCAACCAUAUUUUCAGUUCCCAAUUCCCCUGGGAAUAUCCUAAAAAGAGUGGAAUUGCUGGUUCAC
rnacentral:lncRNA from 1 species